ACCUUGUGAAAUCCCACGGCUCAACCGUGGAACUGCUUGGUAUACUGCUUUUCUUGAGCCACUUAGGGGCUGUCGGAACAAACGGUGGAGCGGUGAAAUGCGUAGAUAUCGUUUGGAACGCCAAUGGUGAAAACAGGUAGCUGGGAGUGUGCUGACGCUGAGACACGAAAGCCAGGGGAGCGAACGGGAUUAGAUACCCCGGUAGUCCUGGCUGUAAACGAUGUCGACUAGAUCGUGGUGGCUCUGACGCCAUCACGGUCGAAGCAAAAGUGCUAAGUCGACCGCCUGGGAAGUACGGUCGCAAGGCUAAAACUCAAAGGAAUUGACGGGGGCUCACACAAGCGGUGGAGCAUGUGGUUCAAUUCGAAGCAACGCGCAGAACCUUACCUGGGCUUGACAUGCUAGGAUUAUCCCUAUGAAAGUAGGGUAGGCCCUUCGGGGUACAACUAGUACAGGUGCUGCAUGGCUGUCGUCAGCUCGUGUCGUGAGAUGUCGGGUUAAGUCCCUUAACGAGCGAAACCUUUGCCCUUAGUUACCAGCGGGUUAUGCCGGGGACUCUAAGGGGACUGCCGGUGUCAAACCGGAGGAAGGUGGAGAUGACGUCAAGUCCUCAUGGCCUUUAUGCCCAGGGCCACACACGUGCUACAAUGGCGUCCACAAAGCGAACCGAGAGCGCAAGCUGGAGGAAAUCGCACAAAUGACGCCCCAGUUCAGAUCGGAGGCUGCAACUCGCCUCCGUGAAGUUGGAAUCGCUAGUAAUCGCGGAUCAGCUACGCCGCGGUGAAUGUGUUCCUGAGCCUUGUACACACCGCCCGUCAAGUCAUGGGAGCCGGAAAUAGCCGAAGUUGCCUGAAUACACAGGUACCUACGCUAGGUUCGGUGACUGGGACUAAGUCGUAACAAGGUAGCCGUAGGGGAACCUGCGGCUG
rnacentral:rRNA from 1 species